rnacentral:rRNA from 1 species
AUUGAACGCUGGCGGCAUGCCUUACACAUGCAAGUCGAACGGUAACGGGCCUUCGGGUGCCGACGAGUGGCGAACGGGUGAGUAAUGCAUCGGAACGUACCUUUCAGUGGGGGAUAACGUAGCGAAAGUUACGCUAAUACCGCAUAUUCUGUGAGCAGGAAAGCAGGGGAUCGCAAGACCUUGCGCUGAUUGAGCGGCCGAUGUCAGAUUAGCUAGUUGGUGAGGUAAAGGCUCACCAAGGCGACGAUCUGUAGCGGGUCUGAGAGGAUGAUCCGCCACACUGGAACUGAGACACGGUCCAGACUCCUACGGGAGGCAGCAGUGGGGAAUUUUGGGACAAUGGGGGGCAACCCUGAUCCAGCCAUGCCGCGUGAGUGAAGAAGGCCU